rnacentral:snRNA from 1 species
UGGUGGUGGACCAUACCCGCCACCUCC